AGUCAAGCGAAAACCACCGCCGGUGUUAGAGGGAGGAUAUCCGAGCGGAAUGCGGUUUCUGCGUAGUCGGAAGCUGUACUAUUGGAGGGGGGCAAUAUUCAUGCGUCUUGUAAGACCUGUAUCUGGAAGAGUUUGAAGCUUCAGUGGACACAAGGCACUACCCCGGGACACGGGAUAGUUGGAAGAGCUUAAUUGCCUGGAGUAUACAAGGGUCCGGCAUCCCUCCAUUCCAGGCGUGGGUGGAGGGGAGAGGGAGAAGGAAACGUGGGGGCAGCUGGCGGAGAGGUGAGAACGUAACCUGCCACGGCCGCACGAUCUUAGUCAAGCGAAGACCAGCGCCGGUGGUGGAGGGAGGAUAUCCAAUGCGGUGUCUGCGUAGUCGGAAGCUGUACUAUUGAAGGGAGGCAAUAUUCAUGCGUUCUUGUAAGACCUGUAUCUGGAAGAGUUUGAAGCUUCAGUGGACACAAGGCACUACCCCGGGACACGGGAUAGUUGGAAGAGCUUAAUUGCCUGGAGUAUACAAGGGUCCGGCAUUCCUCCGUUCCCAGGCGUGGAUGGGCUGCCUUCUGAACUAGACAAUACGUGAGUGAGAGAGCCUGAUGUAAGACUGCUUGAGUGAAGAGGAAAUGACAUGUCUGCUCUGCUAAGGUGGUGCCAACUUCAGUAACCCUUCAACUAGUGCUAAAGGAGAGAAAUAAAUUGGAAAGUUUCA